GAAAUGUUGUGUUUGUAAGCUAAUUUUAUUGUAAAGUUUUGAUCUUUGGUGAUUUUGAAUUGAUAUGGUUGAAGGGUUUUGCAAAGCUUGAUCUUUGAUGGUUAUUUCAGCUAUUUUCCUUAUCUAGUUAAGUUUUAAGUUUGUUUUAACAUUCUUUAAUUGUUAUUGUGUUGUUUUCUUUAUCUAGUUGAAUGUUAACUUAGGUUUUAACGACUCAUUAUUUAAAUUGUGCAAUUUUAUUCAACUGGCUGAAUGUUACCUUGGUUUUAACAAUUCUUUAAUUUCCAUCAUGUUGUUUACCUUAUCUUGUUGAACUAUAACUCAGGUUAAGAUAAUUCUAUAAUUGCAUUAAGAAAUUGAAAAUAGACAUUUCAUCUUAUUCUUCACUAAUGUUUUUCUGUAAUUUGCAGAUAUUUGCUACAGUUGUCUUUUUCUCUUCAUUUAACAAGAUGUCACUUAUGCAAAAUUAGAUUCAGAUUAUUAAAAGCUUAACGGUUUGGCCUUUGCAUCAAUCUUUGUCCAAAAGAUGACCAUGGGUCCUUACGCAGCCUUUCAAGGUUCGUGAUUUGAUGAAACAAGCUAAGACAAGGGAUAGUAUUACCAGAAAGAAGCAAGAAGCCAUUUCAUGUAUUCUAGCUAGUGCUAUGAAUCAGGUAAAAGAAUCAAGGAAGAAGAGAAAUGAGGUUAAUGUGAUAACCAUUGAAGACUCAGAUGAUGAGUCCAAAACUAUCUGAUCAAACAGUUAAAGCAUAUUAUAUAGUUUCUUAAUUAAGGUUGUAUAGAUUGUUAUCAAAAAAUUACUAAGUGUCUUAUUAAAUAUGGCGGCAAUAUGACAUAGUUACUUUUUUAUAUCAUCAAGGAGUACAGGGUUGUCCCUUUAUCCGUUGUGUUAAUAUAUGUAAGUUUAGCUAUUCUGAAGAAAGUCAAUUUUUAUACA